GCUGUCAGUCAAUAAAUGUGAAAAAGUAACUUGUUACUUAUUUGAAAAAGUAACUUAGAUAUUUUGUUGUAAAUUGAAAAGCAAUGCAUUACUUUAGUAGUUACUUGAAAAGUAAUCUGAUUGCGUAACUCAGUUUACUAGUAAUGUGUUACCCCCUUAUAACACAGGACUUAUAAACAACUUAUUUUUUAGUUCAGUGUAACCUAUUGAUGUCAGACAAAACAGCUUCAAAAGGAUCCUCCUUUGUUUAUCAUUCAAUUACUUUUUUAUUUGCUGUUUUGAUCAUUUCAGAACUAGUGCAUCCACUACUAUUUCCAUGAGUUUUAUUUAUUUUAUUUUUUUUGGACUAAACUGUAACUUUCUACUUCAUACCAUAAAGAUUGUGUACUCAGUCUUGUUGUUCAACCUAUUAGUAUGUCUCUGUGGGCCUAGCAUGGCUUUAACGGUUGCAAGAGGUGUGGAAUGUGUGCUAGUUUAUGCAUUUCAGCCUGAGGCUCUUCAUGGUGGUUUGUGUCGCCCUGGAAAUGACAUCAGCAGUGUGCUGGAGUCCGCCUGUGGUACUGAAACCCCUCAUGACCCUAUUCCACACACCCACUAAUACUGCCUGGGCAUACCAGGAGCCCUUAUUAGAUUAUGUUGCCAUUACUUUAGCACAGGUUGUGGAAAUGGAGCAGAGGAAAGCAGCAAGCCUCACCAUAUUAUGGACCGUUUUAAUGAAUGAGAGUGCCUCAACUUCACUGGAUGUAAUGAAACCUAUCUCCCACUAGCAUUUACUAGCAUUUACCCUAUGUUACCCCGUUUUUUUUUUUUUUAAACUAAUGCUACCCUUAUGAUUGCUGGGAAUUCUGGGUAAAUGGGGUAUAUGAAAAUGUGCCUUCAUAGAGCUUGAUUUGAUAUUGCAGAAUGAUGUAAGCCUGAUAGACUAGCUUCUUUUAAAAGUCUGCACCAGCUCUACACACAAAUGGUUCAUGCAAAUGAUUUCAAAGGAAAGAACAUUUGGUUCAGCUCUGUGAAAUAUGAUUUGUGCCCUGUAUAUGUGUGCGCGUGUGUGUGCGUUUAAGACCCGUCUAUUUCUGUCAUCAAUCCACUAUCAGUGGUGUUUAUUUUUUUGUCAUCUUCGUCUCAUAAUCACUGAAGUGUUUAGGGCUUCUGGUAACUUGUCAGCUGCUUUGUAACUUUUCAACUAGUGGUGCCAGUUGUCACCAAAAUCCACAUCAUAAAGAACACAGUGUGAUGAGCCCUGGUUCAGAUGUGAACCAAGAAUCAUAUUUAUAAAUAUUUCAGCUAAAAUUGCUCGUUUCCUCCAGGUCACAGUACAUUGAUCUCCUUCAGAAGAACCUAACUAAAUUGACCUUACUAAAUUACAUUUAGUAGAUCUAGACAAUAUUGAAUAUCUGUGAUUAAUGAGGCACAAAAAGGAAAAUCUUUACAGAAAUGUAAAAUUCUGGACACACACAAUCAUAAAAUGGACAAUUGGCUAAUAGAAGCACAUAUUGCACCCUAUAACAAAAUGCACAACAAAGGACAAAAUGCAUAGUUUUAUUUUCUGAAUUAGUUCAGGGCCAGGGGUUAGUAAUAGAAGUUCAACAAUGUGCCUAGUCAGAUUGAGACAGUUUCUCUUCUGAUGUAUUUUGAGAUUUUGUGCAAAAUAGUCUCUAAACAUCUGCACAUCUUAAUCUUCCUUGUGUUUCAGUGUGAAAUCAUGCCUUGAUUAUUAUGAUUAACUACAUUGUUACUUUUUAUUACGUACAUUAAAUAAUUUAGAAUUAGGGAUGCACGAUUAUGACAAAUCAUAAUUGUUGAUUAUUCCCUUGAAAUUGAAAUUGCGAUUAUUAAUGGCGAUUAUCACAAUUUACAUUGGAUAAUGUUUUGAAUGGCUUAUAUCAUUGAUUGAAGCAACUGCAUGCCAUAUUUUUAGAUGAAAAUAAACAAGCUGAAAACACUCUUCCUGAAAAAUGGUUAUUGCUUAUCUAUAGCAUUAAGCCUCAAAUGUCAACUAUACAUUGGUUUGGUUUCUUCUAAAAUAUGUAUGGUAUUAUAAUGUUACACUAAAGCUAAAACAAUUGAAAAACCCUUAAGAUAACCCGUAGAAAGAAAAAACAACACACAUCUUAAGCAUGCAGAAUAAUGUAAGUGGACUUUUUUUGUGUGUGCCUUUUGAAUGAUUAUGUAAUUGUGACAUCUGUAACUGUAAUCACAAUUAGAAAUUUGAUUAAUUGUGCAGCCCUACAAUGGCUGUUUUAUUUGAUUUGAAAAAUCACCUUUUUAGCCAUUUCAUAGCAAAGACAUAUUAGAAAAAUAUGUCAGUGCAUGACAAUUUUAAGGUUUAAGGUUAACAUUCCUUGAAGGCUUUAGGCAAACAUAUUUCUUUCAUAAAGCCAGGCUAGGCUAAAACAGCCAGAGUGAGUGGUUUCUGGCUGUAGGUUAAUUCAUGCUAGGACAUGUUUGUUAGUGUGCAGUUACAUUCCAUUUCAGCACACACAUAAAGAAAUCAUGUCACUGUUAAUUAUGAUCUGUUUUAAUUACAUAAUCUUUUAAUUAUAUGCAUAUGUAUUCUAUAUUUUUUAUGUAGAGUGCGUGUGGUUUUUAAGUUGAGUUUGUGAAGGGACAUUUCAUGAUAAUGGUAUAAAUCACAGCAUAUUUAUAUUUAUAUAACUAACAUAAGUAAACUCAAGCUUACUGAAGACUAUUAAAAAGUCAGUGGUAAAAUAAGAACAAAGAAACUAAUUAGAAGCAAUAGGUCAAAAAAACUAUGUUGCGCUCUAUCCAGCUGGCCACUAUGUCAUAUUCAAUCAUGUCAUUUUCACUCUAUAUGUAAAAUGAAUGUUUCCUUGUCUUUAUAUGAAAAAAAAAAAUAUAUAUAUAUGAUUCCCAGUGUGCACAAACUUACCAGAUUACUGAGUGCCUUGUUGGCUACAGUGUUUACUUCCUUUUUAUUCAUAUAUUUUCUUUAUUUUUGAAAAUACUGUAAUAUGAUUACAUAAUUAAGAAGUUGCAUCUGAAGUAUGUAUAUUUUUUUUAAUUUAAUUUAUUUUCAAAAGAUUUCUUAUUAAAUAUUAACUAAAAUAAAUAUAAAUUAUUAUAUAAGCUAUAUAUAUGCCAUCAGCCCUGCUCUCUAAGAAAUGUUGACCACUAUUAUAAUUAUUGAAUAAUUAAAUUGUAUAAAGUAAUCAAAUGUACAACCACUGCAUAGUCUACACUGUGUAAAUUAAAUAUAAAUUUAUUAUCACUAAAGUUACAAAAGUAAUUCAGUCAUGAGCAGUGAGAAAUUUUUAUCUCUGGUAUAUUCUGCUGUCACUUUAAGACCGAAUGCACAGAUCUAAUAUACUGAUACAUGUGUUUUCUUUCUCAACUGUUUAUGUUGACACAAGACAUAACCUAAUGUGUUUAAUGGGGAUUUUGACACACAAGUGUGUGUAUUUGACCUUUUAAAGGAUUUGUUCACUUUCAAAUAAAAUUUUCCUGAUAAUUUAAUCACCCCCAUGUCAUCCAAGAUGUCCAUGUCCUUCUUUCUUCAGUCAAAAAGAAAUUAAGAUUUUUGAUGAAAAUGUUCCAGGAUUAUUCUCCUUAUAGUGGACUUCAAUGGCCUCCAGAAUACUGUAAAUUUUCAGGAAAAUUUUAUUUGAAAGUGAACUUAUCCUUUAAGCCCAAUAAACUCGUCUCAGGACUCACGCUUUGUCUGAGCAGCCACUUUAUGUGUGCGCGCUUCAGGUGUGUGUGCUCAGAAACCAUCUCUCAGACAGCCUGUGCAUAUAUCGCUGCUUAUUGCGCUUGAACUGCAAGGCUUAAAAAUGUAUUCAAAUGAUAAGAUUUCAUGACAGUGCAGUACGGUAACAUCACUUGAGCAUAACCCAGUAGAGACGGUAAUCCAAAAUCUCUACCGGUUGACAAAUUUAAUAUAUUUAUCACAUCUACUGGUAUAUCGCCAACUACUAUUUGUAAAUUCUAGAGAAUGUUGUCUUGAGCAAAUUAUUAUUUGCAUGUAAUAAGCUUUUUGACGGUGGCACUGAUGAUUAUUGUUGUUACUGAAUGUAUGAUCUCUUCGUGUGUGAGGUGUGUGUUUAACAUGUGUUCGUUUCAGCUGAAGGUUGUCAUGGCAGCUGUAGUGGGGGGAGGGGUGAACAGCUCAUUCACAUCUAGACAGACAGCAGAAAAUUUACCUGAGGAUCAGUGCAGGAAAAAAUAUGCUGUUAAAGUAACUCGCAUUGGACCAUGAAUUGCUUCAGCCAUGCACAGUAAAAAGUUGCAUGCAGUCAUGCUACUAGUGCUUUAAUUAUGAUUAAAUCCAGAUUUAUACUGCCAGUGUGAAUUAGGCAUGCACAAUAUUGUAUUUUUUGCCAAUAUCCGAUAUGCCGAAUUUUUUUUUUUUUAUAUAUAUAUAUUUUUUUAAAUCUUUUGGCUGAUAGCCAGUGUUGAUACCAAUAUACAUAUCUUUUCUCCUUUGUUUGGAAACGAUGCUCUCCUGUGCAGGAGCUCUCCUGUGUAAAUGAUUUAUUUUUCAUUCCAGUUAGUAUUGAGCAUAAACUAUUUUUUUUUUUCAUUCUGGUUUUAAGGUUCUGCAGGUCUUACCAAAAGGUUACUUGUAAGAGCUAAAUAAAUGUUCAUAAAGUUCUUUUUUUAUAAUAAGAGUGCAUUGAAAGCUUUACAGAUGCAGAUGACAGAUUCAGUUGUAACAUAAACAUUUUAUUUGUGAAUUAAUAUUUGUAGAUGGUUUACAGCAUACUGGUAUCGGUAGCAGGCCAGAUACUAAGCUCAUGUACUUAAACUUGUAAAAAUACUCCGAUACCGAAAACUAAUACAGUAUUAGUAAUUGAUAUUCAUAUCGGUGAUUGAACAGUAAACUGAUACCAAUGAUGUAACUGACAAGAAUGUUCACACCAGCAGCAGGGGAAAAAAUGUCAGCUUCACGAUGUGUAAAUAUUUAAAAAAUGAAUGAUGACAACCCAAGCAUGGUAGACUAUAAACUUUGUUCUGCAAAAAUAUCAAGAAGAGGUACAAAAAUUAGUACUCAAAAUACACGUAAUCUGAUAAAACAAUAAAACACAAAAUGAGCACGGACAAUUUGCCGCUAGCAGUAGCACUCAGCUACCAAAACUGCAGCAAACCCUAGCAAAACAAGAGACAUUGUCAAGAGAUAUCACGAGUGCUAUAAAAUAACUGAGGUGCUUACUCAAUUCAUUAUUCUUGACAAUCAACCACUGUCAGUUGUUGAUAACGUGGGUUUUUGCCACCUUCUUAAUGUUUUGGAGCUGAAGAUUCCCAGUCACUCACUGCUAUGUCAGAGUGUAGGACCAGCACUGUCCAUGCAAAGCGGUUUUGGGGGCUCGCACAUGGGUCGAGCCAUAGCGAGCAUAUUUUUGGAGAAAAUGCUUGAAACUUGGGUAAUUCCCAAAAGUUCUGUCCAUCCUGUGGUCAAUGACAAUGGCAAAAAAACAUAAUAAAGGGCAUGUAGGAUGCUAGAGUUCCUAGUCUUUCGUGUGUUGCGCAUACACUGCAGCUGGCUAUCUCAGUGUCUGCUAUCACAGCACAGCAUUGUGGAGGCUCUGGGAGUCGAGCACAAAAUAGUCACCACUUUAAACAUUCCAACCUGACAUACUCUCAGUUACAGAGUAUUCAGAUACUGUUUGGUCUCUGAUUGAGCAGAAACGGGCCAUUGGAAUAUAUAUAUGUCUGAAAAUCAGCUCCCUGCCACUCUAACUGUAAACCAGUAGAAUCUUAUGGAGAUAAUGCAAAUUAUCUUGGAUCCCUUUGAAGAAAUGACUCGUCGAGUGAGUUCUUCAGAUGCUUCAGUCUCAGAUGUAUUUCCUGCUGUCAAUGUGCUAUAUAGACCGUUAUUGAAACAAAUGGAUGGGGACCAUGGGAACAGAACGAUGAAGAGUACUUUGCUUGCUGCUUUGUAGAAGCGUUACUGCAUCACAACUUUACUCGAUCCAAGGCACUGCCAGGGAGGUCAAAGAAAUGUUGAUGCUGGAGCUGCAAAAAAUACCUGUUGGAGUGACAGCCACACCUGAGGAGCUUGGGGAACCAGCUGUCAAAAUGUCUCUCAGUGACCAGACAGGUACCAGUCUGGGCAGUGUUUUUGAAGAAAUUGCAGAUUCUACAUCUGAGAGCAGUGCUCCAACAGCUGCUACCACACAGCUGGAAGCAUACCUUGGAGAGACCACUGUGCGUCGUUCAGACAAACCCUUCAAGUAUUGGGCAGUAAUCUGCGAUUUUAAGCUCUGGCUCAAAUGACUCAAACAUAUCUUUCAGCCCCAUGCAGUAUUGUGGAAAGUAAAAGAUUGUCCAGCUCAGAGUGACAUUCUGAAUGAAAUCAGAACAUGCUUCUGUUCCUUAAAGGGUUAGUCCAAAAAUGAAAAUUAUGUCAUUAAUUACUCACCCUCAUGUCUUUCCAAACCUGUAAGACUUUUGUUCAUCUUUGGAAUGCAAAUGAAGAUCUUUUUGAUGAAAUCUGAGAGAUUUCUGUUCCUCCAUAGACAGUCUACGCAAUUGAAACUUUGCCGCUUCAAAAAGUUCAUAAAGAGAUCGGAAAACUAAUCCAUAUUAAUUGAGUGGUUUAGUCCAAAUUUUCUGAAGAGACUCGAUCGCUUUUAUGAUGAACAGGUUUAAUUUAGGCUUUUAUCCACAUAUAAACAUUGAUCUGCGAAUAAAAACAGAAGCUCAAUGGAAACUGAAUGACUCGUGAGAACAAACCUUUUACGGAAGCUCAAGUGUGCUGCGUAAGACUUUUAUACUUUUCAUUCUCACAAAAUUAUUAGAAACAUACUAUACAACAGCUCUGAGGAACAUCAGAGCUGUUAAAGUGUACAAUUAAAGUGACGCUCCACUUGAUUAAACACUAGUCAUAUUUCAAUUUAUUACACUCUUGGUUGUUAUUGUUACACAAUGUUGUGUUAUAAACAUUUGUGCUAUUAAAUUUGAUUGAGAACUUUGUGACAGAGAAAAAAAAAAAAAUUAAAUGUUUUUUUUUAAUGCCCUUGGUUUGGUAGUGGAGGUUAUUUGACACUGUGAAAUUUGUUUGUGCUUUGACAAGAAUAUAAAAUUGACUUUUAAGUCUUUUGAGUUACAGUUGCUCAUAAUCAUAAAGAAAUGUCCUGAAAUCAUUAGUCUCACUGCAUUGUAUUUACAGGUAUCGGUUUUGGCAAGUAGCAGAAAGAAAAUCGGUGCUCAUACUCUGUCUUUGUCGGUGCAUCCCCAACAAAAAGACUCUUUGUUGUUGAUGUUGCCCUUAGUCAUCUGUGUUUAUCACGUCUUUGCUGUUUUGGUUUGUUUUCGCUGAUAUGUAGGAAGUAGGAACACAGGAGUCCCUUGCACACAGCACACAGUGAUUUUCUGUUUUGCUCCAAACAGUCUGCAAAAGUAUGCUUUUAUGCAUGUAUGCUUUUAUUUUUCUGUGGAACACAAUGAAAUGUUUGAAAAAAAUCUUUUUCAUUUUUUCAUCUCUUUUUCAUAACUUUUUGGGCUUUUCGGAUGUGGACAUAUGCACUGCAAUUAUAAUGAAAAGAGCUUUGUCUUUUAAGAUGAGUUGGGACAGAAAAGUUAGGAAGAAAGUGUUACAGUAUGUGUUAUAGCUCCUGAAACAGACAUAGAGAGUGAAUGAAUCAGAUCUCAGUCAGAAACUCCACAGCUGAAGGUUAGUCUACUACAAAUGGACAGGGAAUGUGACAGACGCCAGCCCAACGAAUCAAGGCCGUGAUGCCUCAAAAGAGUCUUUUAAAACCUGAAGUAAAACAGAAUUUUUUUAGCCCUGCCAACUAAUUCCUUUGUGAGUGAGUGAGUAUGUGUAUGUAAAUCAGCAGAGAGCUGUUUGGAACUCAUGCCAAGCCACUACUGGUGUGGCAGCAGAAGAGAGGGUGGGCAGCUUUGUGCUCUGCAGUUUGUCCAAAUUAGCAAGAGUCAGCAAUUUAUAAUGGUAAAAGGGCAGUCAGACAUCAAGUUUUAAAAGCACAUGCUGGGAAGAUACAAACCUAUGCUUGUUUGAGUGCCCAUUAGAACCCAUAUUCAACAUAAAAAAAAAAAAAAAAAACUUUUCUCUUUGCUUAGUUCCUGCAGAGGUCCAGUUGAUUUCUUUUCUGUUGUUCAUAAACAAACAUUGCCUUUGUGUUCUGUUGAGUGUGGUAAAUUGUGCUAUUCAGCCAAGCUCCUGUUCCCAAAGCAGU